CUCACGGUGGCGCAGUUGGAAGCACUGUUGCCUUGAAGGUCCUGGGUUCGAUUCCUGGCCGGGGGU